rnacentral:rRNA from 1 species
AUGGAGACCUGUAUGAAUGGCACCACGAGGGCUUGACUGUCUCCUCUUUCAGGUCAAUGAAAUUGAUCUCCCCGUGCAGAAGCGGGGAUGAGCCCAUAAGACGAGAAGACCCUAUGGAGCUUUAGACACGAAGGCAGACCAUGUUAAGGACCCUUAGAUAAAAGACUGAACUUAGUGGCCCCCUGUCCCGAUGUC